AAGUGUUAGGGGGUUUCCCGCCCUUUAGUGCUGCAGCUANCGCAUUAAGCACUCCCGCCUGGGGAGUNCGACCGCAAGGUUGAAACUCAAAGGAAUUGACGGGGACCCCNCACAAGCGGUGGAGCAUGUGGUUUAAUUCGAAGCAACGCGAAGAACCUUACCAAAUCUUGACAUCCUUUGACCGCUCUAGAGAUAGAGUNUUCCCCUUCGGGGGACAAAGUGACAGGUGGUGCAUGGUUGUCGUCAGCUCGUGUCGUGAGAUGUUGGGUUAAGUCCCGCAACGAGCGCAACCCUUAAGCUUAGUUGCCAUCAUUAAGUUGGGCACUCUAAGUUGACUGCCGGUGACAAACCGGAGGAAGGUGGGGAUGACGUCAAAUCAUCAUGCCCCUUAUGAUUUGGGCUACACACGUGCUACAAUGGACAAUACAAAGGGCAGCUAAACCGCGAGGUCAAGCAAAUCCCAUAAAGUUGUUCUCAGUUCGGAUUGUAGUCUGCAACUCGACUACAUGAAGCUGGAAUCGCUAGUAAUCGUAGAUCAGCAUGCUACGGUGAAUACGUUCCCGGGUCUUGUACACACCGCCCGUCACACCACGAGAGUUUGUAACACCCGAAGCCCGGUGGAGUAACCAUUUAUGGAGCUAGCCUCGAAGGUGACAAGUG
rnacentral:rRNA from 1 species